CCUCUCUGUAAAAAAUCAAUAAAAUAUGAGCCGUCAAGAAAGGGCAAAGGAAAAACACUGCUUUUGGGUGAAGUGGCAGUGUGUUGUGUUGCUUUGCUUCAAUUGGUGGUGUGACAAGG